ensembl:lncRNA
AUGCUGUUGUGGGUCAGGGGUUGGAGCUGGUUGUGGGGAGAGAGCAGGAUUUGGCUCUUUGCAGAGAAGGAGAUGUGGGAAAUGAGAACACGCUCAGAGGAUGCCAUGGAGAGCAAAGCACAAGUGUUGGAGCAGGGAGCCAUCUGCAGCCCCUGGUGCCCUCUCUCCCAUGGAGCUGUGUGUGCUGCCCUCCUCUUACUUGGGGCUGUGUCUGUGCUGUCCAUGCUGGCCCAGUCCCUGCAGUGCCAUCUUGAUGUGACAUCCACGUCCCCCAGCUCUGCUCCCGAGCACAGCAGGAAGGAGAGGCAAGAGUUGCAGGUUGCCACAGUAACCCCUGCUCCACCACCUUUUGCUUUUACACCAGGAGAAAUCCAUCGCUCUGCAGACACCCAGCUCCACACUUGUGAUUUACACCGAUCGUGUUUGCCGUGGGGCUAUCGAACGCCAAGGGCUGGUGCAGAAGAGCCCUGCAGGACCAGCUUCAUGCUUCUAAAUCCCCACCACUUCCAGAUCUCCUUGGUGCAGCCAAACUGCCUCGGGCUGACUGUCUGAAACAGGGCUGAGUGUAGUUCUCCCUGAAGUCAACGAGAGCCUUCUCACUGAAACAACAGCUUUGUUUUGGAGGAGCUUUUUUGGAGGAGCAGGCUGAGAGCCAGGUGGGGAUUUCGUUUUUCACACCUAAUAUAUUCAUGAGUGUGUGUGUGUGUGUGUGUGUGUAUAUAUAUAUAUAUAUAUACAUAUUUUCCUGUAAUACAAAUUAGAUCACUAUAUGGAAAGCAUAUGAAUUAAAGCCAAUAUAUUUUCUGUUUAGGCAAAUUAAAGACUAUUUCCCUUUGAGAUGCUCUUCGGGUUGCUUUAUAUCCCACUCACAGAAGUGUUUUUCCCCACAGUAUCCCUUCAGGUAAACGCUUCUCCUUCCGUCAGUGCACCUGUGGAUUAGCUGUGAGUAAUUUGCUCUUGAAAUAUUUCGCAAAAAUAUUCUUUGCAUAUGGUAAACAGGUUUGAAUACCCAGGCUGAUAAUGAUAGAGGCUGAUAAUGACAGAGCUUGUUGCCUUGCAGACGCUCUUUGUGCAGGUAGGUCAUACCUGAACAGCUGGAUUGCGUGCACAGGUCAUGGGCUAUUUUCUAUACUCAUUUGGCAACAGCACAGAGCUUUUGCAAGUGAUCAGUGAUUUAAUUUUAAAGGAACGUCUUCUGCUGGCUUUUGUAUUAAGACCAAUGUAACAUCUUUAUUGUCAGAUGAGGCCUUUCUAUCCACGCAAAAAACAUAGCCCUGCUAUUGCUGAAGAGCUACCAAUGAUGGUGAAAAUGGAGUGAAAUUGGAGAGAAUCAUAAAUGUGUCCUUCAGGGAUGAGUACUGUCCCAUGCACCACCUCCUUUGCUCGCAGGCUCUGCUGCGGAUGCCCAUUUUGCCCACUGCAACUCUGUACCAGAGGCGCAGGUGAGGAAAUGCCCCAUGUGGCUCUGACAGCGUGACCGACAGCUCUCAUUAGAAAAUGUGAAAUGAAAGCAGCUCAGGGUCCAGCCUGCCUCGCCGAGGCCCAUUACACA